CCAAUAAUCAUAAGCAUUGAAAGUGAAACGGACAAAUUUGUGUAGCGUGAAUCGGCGUAAAUGCGUUAUACCGAGUUAGUCCUGUGAAAAGCAUUUGGCAAGAUCAGAAAAUAUGGCAAUAUUUCUUGGUACGUUGACAAGUGUGCUGUCAGUAGUGUAACGUUCUCUGUAGUAUUAAGGAGUUAAUGUAGAUUCAGGAUUAUAUGCAAGGUGUUAUGCUAUGAUAUAUAACAAAUAUACAUUGACAAUACAUUCACGCUAAUUCGCUAUCCAUUUCUCUAAACAGUUGGUAGAAUUUAUGCGUGUGGUGUGCGGUAGUCCGGCGACGGCGUCCGUUUGUAGGAAAGAGGAAAGGGAGAAGGAUUCCUUUGUCGAAAUCGAAGACGACCUUGUGUAGUCGAAAAUCUACGAAGAUCAGAAAUCGAUAAAUCUGGAAUCUCUGAGAAUUCAGCAAACCCUACGUGCACUUUAUUUUCCUUCUCCCCCUCCGGUUUUUCUAUAAACUUAUCUGCACCUCAUCGAAGAUUUUUUUUUCUUUCCUGUAAAGUGGAAGAAUAACAGUGGUACAUAAAACGAUCACUCGGCUCCCAUCCUCGGGAGCUUCUGCGCCUCGGCGCCUAAGCUGUGUUAGGAAGAAAAACGAAGAAAUUACGGAAGGGGGGAGGUUAAGGGGACGGCAGGAAAGGGAAGACGCGCCGUCCAUCACCAUGAAGCUUGUCGACCACGUGGUGAGAAGCUUCAAGGUGGCAAAGGUCUUCCGAGAGAAUUCCGAUCGUAUAAACAGUAUCGAUUUCUCACCGAAUGGAGAUACACUCAUCUCCUGUUCGGAGGAUGAUCAAAUCGUGAUAUACGAUUGUGAGAAAGGCACUCAAGUACGUACAGUCAAUUCAAAGAAAUACGGCGUCGAUUUGAUUCAUUUCACACACGCCAAAAAUACUGCUAUCCACAGCAGUACCAAAGUAGAUGAUACCAUUCGAUAUCUAAGUUUGCACGAUAAUAAGUAUAUUCGAUACUUUCCUGGUCAUACUAAAAAAGUAGUAUCACUUUGUAUCAGUCCUAUAGAAGAUACAUUUCUUUCUGGAUCAUUGGAUAAGUCCUUGAGGCUUUGGGAUUUACGUUCACCAAAUUGUCAUGGAGUUAUGAAUGUUUCUGGACGUCCAGUUGCUGCAUACGAUCCUGAAGGUUUAAUCUUUGCUGCUGGAGUUAAUUCAGAGAGUAUUAAGCUAUAUGAUUUACGCAGUUUUGAUAAAGGACCCUUCGUGACCUUUAGACUUUCUCAGGAAAAGGAAUGCGACUGGACUGGCUUGAAAUUCAGCAGAGAUGGUAAGACCAUUCUGAUAUCGACCAAUGGCAGUACAAUUCGCUUGGUCGAUGCUUUCCAUGGCACUCCGUUACAAACUUUUGCUGGUUAUUUGAAUAACAAAGGCAUUGCAAUAGAAGCCAGCUUUAGUCCAGAUUCACAGUUCGUAUUUAGUGGCUCUACGGAUGGUAGAGUACAUGUAUGGAAUGCAGAAACUGGAUACAAGGUAUGUGUCCUUAAUGGAGAUCACCCUGCGCCAGUUCAGUGUAUUCAGUUCAACCCAAAAUAUAUGAUGUUGGCAUCUGCAUGUACCAAUAUGGCUUUCUGGUUACCAACAGUCGAUGAAAGUGCAUAAGACUAAUCAGACCAAUGUAGGGCUAUGCUCUCAGAAAUUUAUUUAUUAUUGGUAUGGAAAUAAGCUGAGAACUACAGCAAACAGAAAGAAAUGGCGGUGUAAAGCUCCUGGGUAUAUUGGUUGAAAGAAUAUUGCAUCUAUAAUAUGUACAAGAUGAAAGAGCCGACGUAUGAGACGCCGGUACCGGUACGAACCCAAGGAGCCAAAGGAUCGUCAAAGGACAAGAAAGAUUACCAUUACAUGAUAACCAUGGUCUUGGUACUUGCACUUGUCUGCUGCAAAAUGGCACGUUUGGAGUACGUUAUACUCUUUCUAUGUAUGUCGUCGUUGUCUUCGUCGUCUUCAUCGUCAUGCAUCCUAUGGCGCGAUGAACGCGACCAUUAUAAUACAUACCUUGUCACUGUUUAAACUUGUGACAUACCAUCACUUCUAUAACAUCUUAAAGUAUAUUACAUACUACUAGUAUUCGGAUGUGUCGUCUUGUGUACAUAGUUUCUUUCCACGUACCUGUGUGUAGUAUAAUGGAUAGAAAACAACUUAUACACUGAAAAACAUCUGUUGUGACUGUGACUUUUAUUAACUCACGAACGGUUAAAAUACUUCAGCGUAUUUGCUUUUCUUUCACUUUAUCUCAUUUAUAUAUAAGGUGAAUCAUAAAGAAGAGUUUUUAUUGUAUUGACGAUAUUUAAAAUCAAGGCAAUACAUUUUUUAUGCAUCAAUUCAAACAAGAAGGUACGUUUAACAUUUUUGUACCGUGGUAUAAGCGAUAUCUUUGAAUAAAAUUUUUCAAGCAGAAAAGAAUAGCUUGCUUACAAUUUUCUAAACAAUUUUAAUUGAAUAAAAAUAAAUUUGAUAGAAUAAAACUGAUUUUCAAAACAAAGAUGUUUGUUUUAAAUUUUGAUUGCAUCGAUGCUAUGAAAAAUGUUAACAAAUCUCAAAAACUUGACUACACACAUAUUAUUGUUAAUCUUAUUUGUAUAGAAACAGACCGUCAAUAUACAUGUACAUCCACACGUAUACAAAGAAUCAUAAAUGAGCACUCAAUUACACCUGGUUAACUCUUAGAAUUUGAACUCAUUCAUUACUUCGUUCAUUCAUACUUUUGUUUAAUCCAUUUAUUCUCAUGUACGACCGUCCGAAAACCAAAGGUGUUUGAUCAUCAUUUAUUGAAUACUAUUAAAAGUAUAUUAAUACGGUGAUACACACACGAAACAUACGAUGUUAUAAUAAGCGAGAAGAAGGUAGUCAUCGAGCUUAUUUAUUAUAUACAAUAAGCACACGAUCGCUCAUCUACGUUUUCUUUGACAGCGUUAAGCAUUUCAACUUAUUACGAAUUUUUGUACGAUAAAGUUUAUACCAUGUCUUGGCUUGCACGACUGCCACAAAUACUUGCGUUAGUAUGCGUUAUCAUAACUACGAUGUAUCAUCAUCAAUUUGCAUAUGUGAAACCGGCGGGCCGGAAUGAAAAAUUAAUCAAUAUUCGUAGUGAACGCAGUAAGGAAAACGUCUAAUCAUAAUCCACUUAUUCUCGAGUUUGACGUAAACCAGAUUCCCCCUCCUAGUCUGCCUCGAAGUGCGUACAAAUAGACAGGCUUGUUUUUUCAAAAUUUGCAUUGUAAAAACUUCAAGAUUACUAGGCUAUGUUGUAAAAAAAAAAAAAUAGACAAGAAAGAAAAAACAGAACAGAAAAGAACUUUUGCACUGCCGUCGAAUGUUGCAUACUUACACAAGCAUUCUUUGAACUUUGAUCGCAUUCGAUUCUUUGAACUUUAGUUCGAUGGUUAAUAUUUUUGAAUAUAUUUAAAUUAAAAGAAAGCACCAAUUUUCGUUCGCGCUAUUUUACAUAUACACAAAAACUAUCAUUAGCCUGCCUAUUUAACUUAAUACACCACCGUGAGAUUUUCAGUUCUUAAUCCUAAAGCUGCUUUGAUGCUUAGCGAAAGAAAAGGAAAAGGAAGAAAGAAAAGAACAACAAGAAAUACGAGGUGCAUUAGCCUAUAAAGAUAACCUAAAAUGUGAUUUAGUUAUUUCAAAAAUUUGUGUUUAACGAAUUUUUAUAUGUUCGUAAAUAAGAUUCUAUGAAUGUGGAUAUAUUAGAUAAAAAAAAAGAAAAGAAAAAAGGGACUGUACAGUACUACGAUUGAUAGAUAUUUGUUUUUGUAAACUGUGUAUUUAUAAUUUACUGUUUUUUUGUUUUUAUUUGUUUUUCUUUUCUUUUUCUUUUUUUUUUUUUUAAUCUACUAUAAUUAUAAAAUCAGCAUUUUUCCGUGUUACUAGGGUACUUUUCUUCAUGGAUUCCCAAGCGAAAAAAUUCGCAAUAGGCACGACCGAUAUAGUUUACGUUAAUGACUAAAUACUGUUUUAAAUAUUCCUAUACGAUUGUUAUUUAUUUUAAUUUAAUAUCGCCGUAACGUGAUUUCGUACGAAUUCUUUUAUUUUUAAAAAAUACCUCCAUUUUGAUAUCGUAAGUAGUAUCAAAUUAAAAUCCUCAUUACAAGAGAGAGAAAGAAAGAGAGAGAGUAACCUCAUUUUUGGUAUAAAUUUUAAAUUAAUCUAUCUAGCCGUUUAAAAACGAUAGAAUGAAGAUACACACAAAUAUGUACAUUUAAAUUUUGAUAUAAAACGUAAAGAUUCUUAACGAAUUUUUGAAUAUCUCGAGUAGUGUCGAAAAUAAUUAUUUACAUUUUUACUUUUAUCGAGAAAACUGCGGUCGUGCCUAAAAAGAAAAAAAAAAAGAAAAAAAAAGAGAAAAAUUGAAGAAAUUAAAGAAAUUAGUUCAUAUCGGUAAAACAAAAAGUUUCAAGGUCGUCGAAAAUAAUUUCCAUUUUUCGAAAUAGAUUGAAGAGGUCUUUUUAUUAUUUUUUUUCACCAGUAUAUGUACAUAUAUAUUAUAUGAUGUUCGUUAUUUUACGUCGAGUUAAUAGAUGUAUUUUCUAGACAUAGAACUUUGCGAGAAAGAAAACACGUGAUUAUAAUAUUCUACUCGAUAGAGAGAGAAUGCAUGUUUUUUUUUGCGUACGUGGAUAUAUCUACUAGGCUGGAUGCACCCAUUCGUCGUAUACUUUCGUGUACGAUCGUGCUCCGAGGGUCAGCAGCGUGCAUGCAUGCGUGCAUGCAUAUAUGUAUGUGUCGUGUGUGCUUGCUGCGUACGUGCGUGCGUCGUACGCUUGUCUUCUUCGUUAUGUAAAAUAGUAUUUUUAUAAAGGCAAAACAGUGUACGCAAGGUCCAUAAAGUCACGAUGUUAAAGAAAAAAAGAAAAAAGGCGAGAAAGAGCACGUAAAAGAUGUGAUGACGAUGACAUUCGGAUUAAUCAAAAACAAAGAUUCUAGAAAUUGGAAUAGGAGCUCCAGACAUUAAAUCUCGUCCUUCUAUUGUUUUUGGAAAUGCUAUAACAUUUCUGAUACUUUUCGUAUUACAGAGUAUACAAAGAAGACGAUCCAGACCUAAAAAGUAUGUUUUGUUACAAGAUAUUUCAUAUCUUCUGGAUGAGGUUGUGUAAAUGGAUGAUGCAUACUUUCUAACAACUGUGAUUCAUUUACUUCAAAUAAUGGAAAAUCUAUAAGCCAUAAAAAGUUAUAGCCAGACGAACGUAUUUUUAAAUUAUUAUUUUCCAAUACGUUUGUAAAUUCAAUUCGUAAUUUUCCUAAAAGUUUUUGCUAGAAUAUGUAUAAAAUAAUUUUUAUUUUUUAAGUUAAUUCGAUAUAAUUAAUAUAAUAAUUUAUAUUAUAUUAUUACAUACAGAAUCAAGCUUAGGACCAAUGGUUAAAAAUAGAAUGUCUCCAAUAUUCAAGUUCAACAUUUGUAUUAUAUCUUCUGCUAUAUUCGCGGAAAAUAAUUUGUCCAAUUGUAAUUUCCAAGAAUUAUCAGAAAUUUUUAUUUGAAACAAUUUGGUAGCUGAAAAAUAUAUGUUUUUUAUAUUGUUGAAUUCUUCCCUAACAGAACGUGUUAAGUAUUCCUAUAAAAUAUAAUAUAUAGAAAUCAGUUCAAAAAACAUUAUUUAAAUAUAUAUAUCUAUAUUAUGAAAUAACUCACAUGUUUAUUGGGAAAAACCAAAGCACAGAUUUCGCAAUCUUUGUUAUUUGUUAACUUAAUAUUUUCCUCCAAAACAGUCAUAUUAAUAAUUUUUUUAAGAUAUUGAAUCUGAAAAAAUGAUAUAAUGUAUAUUUAGUAGGUAAUGCUGAAUAUAAAAUUUAUGUAUGCGUGCAUUUGUACAUGCAAUUUUCUUACUUCAUAAGGUAUUCUCAAAUCUGGUUGAUCUGUACCAUACAACCUCAUUGCAUCAUCAUAAAUCAUGCGUUUAAAAGGUGUAGUUAUAGUUUCUGGCCAACUAUACCUUAGUAGAUUUUCAAUUAAUUCCAUUAUACCAUUUUGAUCAGCAAAUGACAUUUCAAUAUCUAACUGUAUAAUUACUUCAUUAUAAAUUUUAAUAAUGCAUAUGUAAAAAAUAGAUACUUAAUCAUCUACCUGUGUGAACUCAGGUUGUCUAUCAUGUCUUGCACUUUCAUCUCUGUAACAUCGAGCAAUUUGAAAAUACCUAUCAAUUCCACCUACCAUCAAUAAUUGUUUAAAUUGUUGUGGACUUUGUACAAGGGAAUAAAAUUUUCCUGCAUGUCU